UUGGGCUAUAGCCAAGCGGUAAGGCAACGGACUUUGACUCCGUCAUGCGUUGGUUCGAAUCCAGCUAGCCCAGUUGA
rnacentral:tRNA from 1 species